UACAGAGGUGGCAAGCGUUGUUCGGAAUUACUGGGCGUAAAGGGCGCGUAGGCGGCCUACUAAGUCAGACGUGAAAUCCCCCGGCUUAACCUGGGAACUGCGUCUGAUACUGGAAGGCUUGAGGAUGGGAGAGGGAUGUAGAAUUCCAGGUGUAGCGGUGAAAUGCGUAGAUAUCUGGAGGAAUACCGGUGGCGAAGGCGGCAUCCUGGACCGGCAUUGACGCUGAGGAGCGAAAGCUAGGGGAGCAAACGGG
rnacentral:rRNA from 1 species